rnacentral:lncRNA from 1 species
AAUCCCUCCCUAGAAAUGAGAUGUCCUUCCAGGCUUAGCCCAGAGGGUCUUGUAACCCCGAGGUAUAAAACUCAGUGUGGGCUGCUUUCUGAGGUCCCUCAGCUGCUAUGAAAGUGGAGCACAUGCAGUUGAGACUCCAUCCACCCAGGCAGCUUUCCUGAACCUUGGAGGACUGGGUGGCAAUGAAUCCUCGGUUUCUGUUGUCCCUUGCUGCCUGCCUAUCUGGCACAGACUAAUCAGGAUGACAGAUUCCAAGCCACUAUACUGUACUGGGGAGUACCUACUGUACAGCAGAUUGGAUAUACAACAAAGAAAGAGGUCUCUCACCCCAGACUCCCAGCUGCACUCCCCAGAGGGCAAAUGACACCAUCUGGACCCUGGAAACAGCACAUGUUUGGUGCAGUCACCCUCCCCCAAGCCAGCAUCUUAAGCAAAGUCUCCUCCCCCUUUAAAUGAGCCUCCUUCAUGUUUUCCUUUCUUCUGGUCCGCUUGGUUUUCAUGUUCCUCUCUCUGCUCUCUUUGUCCUGCUGAGCAGACAGCAAACCUGCAGGUUCUGUGAUCCUGCUGCUCAGCUUUAAAACAAAAAACAAAAACAAAACCA